GCCCCCAUCGUCUAGUGGCCUAGGAUAUCGCCCUCUCACGGCGGAGACACCGGUUCAAAUCCGGUUGGGGGUACCA
rnacentral:tRNA from 1 species